AUUGAACGCUGGCGGCAGGCUUAACACAUGCAAGUCGAGCGGUAACAGGAGAAGCUUGCUUCUCGCUGACGAGCGGCGGACGGGUGAGUAAUACUUAGGAAUCUACCUAGUAGUGGGGGAUAGCUCGGGGAAACUCGAAUUAAUACCGCAUACGACCUACGGGAGAAAGGGGGCAACUUGUUGCUCUCGCUAUUAGAUGAGCCUAAGUCGGAUUAGCUAGAUGGUGGGGUAAAGGCCUACCAUGGCGACGAUCUGUAGCUGGUCUGAGAGGAUGAUCAGCCACACCGGGACUGAGACACGGCCCGGACUCCUACGGGAGGCAGCAGUGGGGAAUAUUGGACAAUGGGGGCAACCCUGAUCCAGCCAUGCCGCGUGUGUGAAGAAGGCCUUUUGGUUGUAAAGCACUUUAAGCAGUGAAGAAGACUCCAUGGUUAAUACCCAUGGACGAUGACAUUAGCUGCAGAAUAAGCACCGGCUAACUCUGUG
rnacentral:rRNA from 1 species